AGAGUUUGAUUAUGGCUCAGAACGAACGCUGGCGGCGUGCUUAACACAUGCAAGUCGAACGCGAAAGGGGCUUCGGCCCUGAGUAAAGUGGCGCACGGGUGAGUAACACGUGGAUAAUCUGCCUGAUGAUCUGGGAUAACAUUUCGAAAGGAGUGCUAAUACCGGAUAAGCCCACAGCAACCUCGGUUGCAGCGGGAAAAGGGGGCCUCUUCCUGAAAGCUUCUGUCAUCAGAUGAGUCCGCGGUCCAUUAGCUAGUUGGUAGGGUAACGGCCUACCAAGGCUGUGAUGGUUAGCUGGUCUGAGAGGAUGAUCAGCCACACUGGAACUGAAACACGGUCCAGACUCCUACGGGAGGCAGCAGUGAGGAAUCUUGCGCAAUGGGGGAAACCCUGACGCAGCAACGCCGCGUGAGUGAAGAAGGCCUUCGGGUUGUAAAGCUCUGUCACGUGGGAAGAACGAUCUUUUGUGAAUAGCAGAAGAUCCUGACGGUACCACGGAAGGAAGCACCGGCUAACUCCGUGCCAGCAGCCGCGGUAAUACGGAGGGUGCAAGCGUUGUUCGGAAUUAUUGGGCGUAAAGAGCGCGUAGGCGGUCAAGUAAGUCAGGUGUGAAAGCCCUGGGCUCAACCCAGGAAGUGCGACUGAAACUGCUUGACUUGAGUACGGGAGAGGAGAGUGGAAUUCCUGGUGUAGAGGUGAAAUUCGUAGAUAUCAGGAGGAACACCGGUGGCGAAGGCGACUCUCUGGACCGAUACUGACGCUGAGGCGCGAAAGCGUGGGGAGCAAACAGGAUUAGAUACCCUGGUAGUC
rnacentral:rRNA from 1 species